rnacentral:rRNA from 1 species
GUGGGGAAUCUUGCGCAAUGGGCGAAAGCCUGACGCAGCCAUGCCGCGUGAAUGAUGAAGGUCUUAGGAUUGUAAAAUUCUUUCACCGGGGACGAUAAUGACGGUACCCGGAGAAGAAGCCCCGGCUAACUUCGUGCCAGCAGCCGCGGUAAUACGAAGGGGGCUAGCGUUGCUCGGAAUUACUGGGCGUAAAGGGCGCGUAGGCGGACAGUUUAGUCAGAGGUGAAAGCCCAGGGCUCAACCUUGGAAUUGCCUUUGAUACUGGCUGUCUUGAGUACGGGGGAGGUGAGUGGAACUCCGAGUGUAGAGGUGAAAUUCGUAGAUAUUCGGAAGAACACCAGUGGCGAAGGCGACUCACUGGCCCGUUACUGACGCUGAGGCGCGAAAGCGUGGGGAGCAAACAGGAUUAGAAACCCCUGUAGUCC